UUGCGCAGUAUAGGUGGGAGGCUGAGAAGGUAUAUUUGUGGAUAUAUUCGAGCCAAUAGUGAGAUACCACUCUAAUUAAACUAGAAUUCUAACCUUGAUUGCCAUUAGCUGGCCAAGGAACAGUUUCAGGUGGGCAGUUUGACUGGGGCGGUCGCCUCCUAAAAGGUAACGGAGGCGUGCAAAGGUUUCCUCAGGCUGGUCGGAAAUCAGUCGUAGAGUAUAAAGGCAUAAGGAAGCUUGACUGCAAGACCUACAAGUCGAGCAGAGACGAAAGUCGGCCUUAGUGAUCCGACAGUGCUG
rnacentral:rRNA from 1 species